UACAGAGGGUGCAAGCGUUGUUCGGAAUUAUUGGGCGUAAGGGCGCGUAGGCGGUGCGUAAGUCUGUAGUGAAAUCUCUGGGCUCAACUCAGAGUCUGCUGCAGAAACUGCCGUGCUAGAGGAUGGAGAGGUAGCGAAUUCCUGGUGUAGCGGUGAAAUGCGUAGAUAUCAGGAGAACACUGUGGUGUAGACAGCUUACUGGACCAUUCUGACGCUGAGACACGAAAGCGUGGGUAGCAAACAGG
rnacentral:rRNA from 1 species